UGCCAACAAAAGGCUGUCUAGUCAAAGCUAUGGUUUUCCCAGUAGUCAUGUAUGGAUCUAAGCAUUGGACUAUAAAGAAAGCUGAGCGCCAAGGAAUUGAUGCUUUUGAACUGUGGUGUUGGAGAAGACUCGAGUGUCUCUUGGACAGCAAGGAGAUCCAACCAGUCUAUCCUAAAGGAAAUCAGAUCUGAAUAUUCAUUGGAAGGACUGAUGUUGAAGCUGAAAUCCCAAUACUUUGGCCACCUGAUGCAAAGAACUGACUCAUUUGAAAAGACCCUGAUGCUGGGAAAGAUUGAAGGUGCUGAAGAGCUCCCAAAGCAACUGGAGCCCAAGAAGCCAUGAUCCUGGGGAGCAGGCUUUUUGACGCAUCUGGAAGGAUAUGUAUCAACACUAUUAGAGUGGUUCUCUCAGCCUGGCAUGUUUUCAGGAAUAUCACUUUCUUCUUUGAACUUUUCAAAUUCCAUUUGGUUUUUAAAACAAAUUUAACUUUUAUAAAUGGAACUGUUUUAAAAAGUUUGUGUGCCUUUCUUUACUGGCAAAUCUUGAUUAUAUAUUACUGUUGUACAACCUGCUUUUCAUUUUG
ensembl:lncRNA